UACGUAGGUGGCAAGCGUUGCUCGGAAUCACUGGGCGUAAAGCGCACGUAGGCGGCUUUCUAAGUCAGGGGUGAAAUCCUGGAGCUCAACUCCAGAACUGCCUUUGAUACUGGGAAGCUCGAGUCCGGAAGAGGUGAGUGGAACUCCGAGUGUAGAGGUGAAAUUCGUAGAUAUUCGGAAGAACACCAGUGGCGAAGGCGGCGAUCUGGGAAGAUACUGACGCUGAGGUGCGAAAGCGUGGGGAGCAAACAGG
rnacentral:rRNA from 1 species